CAGAAAUGAAAUUUCAGUUCAAGUUUGGCACUAAGGGACUGAUCGGAGUCAAACCAUAUGCUGUGGCUUUUGCUCCAUGGAAAUCUCAACUAUACUGCAAGAAUAAUUAUUCCUACUUAAUGAAGUUACAGAAGAGAAUGUGGUGCUGGACGGUACUGACUGCAUGGGGAGAGGCCAUACCACAGAAACCUCAAUCUGCCUGAGCCGUGACUCUGAGAGCUGGAGUACCACUGGACAAGGUGAGGGGAGCUUUUGCUUGUUUACUCAGAAAUAUUUUCUAAAUUACCUGUUUGUGUUAUUUAGGAGGGCAGGAUUG
rnacentral:lncRNA from 10 species